rnacentral:rRNA from 1 species
UCCUACGGGAGGCAGCAGUGGGGAAUUUUCCGCAAUGGGCGAAAGCCUGACGGAGCAAUACCGCGUGAGGGAAGACGGCCUAUGGGUUGUAAACCUCUUUUUUCAGGGAGGAAUAUAUGACGUGUACCUGAAGAAUAAGCAUCGGCUAACUCCGUGCCAGCAGCCGCGGUAAGACGGAGGAUGCAAGUGUUAUCCGGAAUCACUGGGCGUAAAGCGUCUGUAGGUGGUUUAAUAAGUCAACUGUUAAAUCUUGAGGCUCAACUUCAAAAUCGCAGUCGAAACUAUUAGACUAGAGUAUAGUAGAGGUAAAGGGAAUUUCCAGUGGAGCGGUGAAAUGCGUAGAUAUUGGAAAGAACACCGAUGGCGAAAGCACUUUACUGGGCUAUUACUAACACUCAGAGACGAAAGCUAGGGUAGCAAAUGGGAUUAGAUACCCCAGUAGUCCUAGCCGUAAACAAUGGAUACUAGAUGUUGGGCAGAUCGACCUGUUCAGUAUUAAAGCUAACGCGUUAAGUAUCCCGCCUGGGAAGUAUGCGCGCAAGCGUGAAACUCA